rnacentral:rRNA from 1 species
CGGGAUGCUCAUGAGUUGUGGACAAAGCUUCAAGAUAAAUAUGGAGUGUCCAAGUUUUGUGGGGGUGAUUGUUCUCCCUCCACCUUCGGCCGUGUUGUGUUCUCAACUUCUUUUACUUCACCUACGUGUGGUUUGCCACAAGGUAAUGACAUGGUGAGUAGUGGUGUUCAUUGCAAUGAUGAUAGUGGGCUCAUUGUUGAUAAUCCUUCAUCACUUUAUUAUUACAAUGCUUCAUCUUUGGACUUUAGCACUUCGAGCACUCCAAAUUUUUCACAUGCUUGUGUUGAUAGUCCUUGCAUAUCAUGUAAAAAUUGCUUAACUAAAUCUCAUGAUGAUAUGCUUGCUAUAUCUUGUUGCCAUGAUGGAAAUGCAUGUAUUUCCUCGAGUUGUUGUGCUAACAAUGUAGAGGAAACCCAACACUCCAUAGAACAAGAUGUGGUAUUGGAUGGUGCUUCAAGGGAUCCUAAAUCAUCAUCUAUUGCAUUUUGCCUUAUGGCCAAGGCUUCAAAGGUAUCUCUCACUUUGAAUCCCAAUAUAUCUUGUGAUGAUAUUGAUGAUGGCAAGAGUGAUGAU